UUGGGCUUGUCUCGAGUUCACAGUAAGCAUUCCCGGAACAUUCACCAACAGAGGAAGGCGAUCUGGGAGCAUUCUAUAAAUAACUGACCCAUGCUGCUUGAGCAGCUCAAGAGUUAGAGAGUGUUUCUAGGUGCCAGGAUGAGGGGAGGAGAGAAAGAGACCCACAACCGGCUCAGGUGGGGAGACAGAGUUGAGAAGCUGAGGCAGUGACGCAUCAGAGAACGGCGUGGCCACUAAGUGCAGCACCUGCUGAGGAACUGCGGCAAGAUUUGGAGAUGGAGGGUCCUCAGAGACAAGAUGAGUGGUAUUUUCCCUGCACUUCAAAGGAGCCCAUACUGGGCUUAGGGUCCAGGGCCUGGAGCCGGUCCUACCGUGACCAGCGUGGGAGGCACUAAGGCAAAGACAAUCCUGACCUUUUUGGAAGUGCUAGGGCCUGAACUAGAAGCUUCGACAGUAUCAUCCUCACUGCAUGAGCUGGUGGAGAUCCUGAGGCUCAGAGACCAGGAGCUACUUGCAUCUUCUGGAAAGUUAGUACAACAGACAACCGUUUGAGAAGCCAAUAAUGUGUGUGUCCUGCAGCUGUAGUCAAAGCAUGUUAUUCCAGGCCAGUGGAUUUUAAGAACAUGGCCUUAGCACCCAGCCCACCAGCAGAGACUUCUAAGGGACAGGCCAUGAGUCCUUGUUGUUCUUCAUUCAAGGAAUGCUGCGAAUGAAGUGGACUGUUGCAUGCCAGCGUGAUCCAGGGCUUAAGUCAGCAGCUCUGCAAGCAAUCCGGGUGGUGGAGAGAAGGCAGAUGCCAGAAAUCUUGUCCUUCUCCUGCAUUCAGUUCUCUCUCCCCACCUUCCCAUUAGAUGUCUGAGCCUAACUUGCCCAGUGAAUGGGCAUUUGUAUGAGCGUCUGAUUCUUUUCCAGCUCUGCAUGAAGCUGCUGCUUUGUGAUCCUUCUUUCUCUGGACUAAAGGCACCCAAUCAGAAUAUUUUACAUUGAAAAAGAAAUGAUAAGUCUAUAUACCUCUGCCAAUCACUGUGUUCUAAUUCUGCCUCCUUUUCUCCUUCGAUAAAGAAAUAAACACAGACAUGCAAACGCAAACACAUCAAGUACUUCCUACUGUCAUUUCUUGUUGAAAGAUAUCUUCAUUUUAAAACAAGUAUGGUGGCUGAUCAAGACCAACAGGCUACGAAAAUCUCUCCCUGACUUCAUUUUAGAGUGAAAACUUCCAGAAGAAAAGGAUUAUGACAGAUACAUACAAAAGCACAAAAAUAUUCCAACUCUCAUUCUGAUCAGAACUAUGUGAAACAUGAAAGGAAACAGACCCAUAUCAAACAGCUAGUCCACCUUAGACCCUUCGGAUGAAUAUCAUUUACAUUACACUAUGAGCUCAAUGGCUGGGCUCUGGUCAUCUGCUGUCACCUAAAGUGUACAGAAAAAUAGAAUCGAUGCUCAAUCACAUUUGUUGAAGGAGUUUCAGCCAUGUGAGAAUGAACCCCUAGUUAAUAAAACAAAGGCAGUUUUUGGUAAGUAAAUUUUAUUUUGGUCCUUUGAAUGGUCCCAAACAAGAAAACUUACUUCAAUGGAAGAAAAGGCAAUGUUCUCAAGACCUCUGGCCCCGCCACAUUGUUAAGCUGGCCAAAGCUGGAACCUUUCACUGCAGAAUCUCAUGGGUCAAGGGGCCUUGGAAAUAUUCACAGCCAAGCCUCUUCUGCGGGUCCUGUCCACAGCCACCCACCCCCAAUGAAUUCUGGGUCUACUUCUCCUCUAACCCCAUGAGAUCCACUCUUUUCACUUUGUUUCCUAUGGGGAAGAGGCUCAAAUUCCAUUCUUGAUUGAUCUAGUAACAUUAAUUGCCUAGUGUUUCCAGUCUACUACAUGAACACUUUCCAGGAGAUGUUAACAGGUGUUAUAAAUGAAGAAAAAGUUCUGGAAUUAAGGGAAACAUUGGAUUAAACAGAUAAAACUUAAACAGAUUUCUGCAUUGCAGGGCUUAUCAGAGCCUUUAAUAUGCUAAUAUGCUUAUGAAUUCCCCAGAGGAAGGCUCCAAUGUUUCCCCCUCAAAUAAAAAGGAUUUUCCCUUCUUCGGGAACAUGUCUGGAGUUAAUAAUGCUCCAUGGAACACUUGAGACACAAUAUGUAUUCUACCAAGUGUCAAACUGUCUCUCAGACCCUGACCUGGAGCUUCCAUCUUUUUUUUUUUGAGAUGAAGUUUUGCUCUUGUUACCCAGGCUGGAGUGCAAUGGCACCAUCUUGGCUCACUGCAACCUCCACCUCCCGGGUUCAAGCGAUUCUCCUCCUUCAGCCUCCCAAGUAGCUGGGAUUACAGGCACGUGCCACCAUGCCUGACUAAUUUUUUGUAUUUUUAGGAGAGACAGGGUUUCACUAUGUUGACCAGUGUGGUCUUGAACUCCCGACCUCAGGUGAUCCACUCACCUUGGCCUCCGAAAGUACUGGGAUUAUAGGCAUGAGCCACCAUGCCCAGCGAGCUUCCAUCUUUAACACACAUGCAUUUGGGGGCAGCAAUUUGAAACAUUUAGGACACAUGAAGGGUUUAAAGGGAGAGUAGCCAUUGAACCUGAGGCCUUAGAACUAGAAAAUUGAGACAUUAGGCUGCAAUGGACUUCACUUGUAGGAAGAAACAGAGCAAUGGCUGAAUUUUCCCAUCUUUGCAGAGAGAAACUUUUAGUAGAGGGUAUUGCCUGUUCAUAUCUGAAUCCCAGGAGCCCGGCUGAGAGACCCAUCAAUCUGUUUGUAAAGUUGGGCUUAUCGCCUCACUUCCCCAGGUUGCCCCACCUGGUGCAUGUCACAUAUCUGUCACCCACAAUGUGGUUUGUCUACUUUAUUUUCGAUUUUCCCACACUAUGGUGUGAGGCCUUCUCUAGCUGUGGCCAAGUGCCGCUGCCAUGAUCUCAUGCUGUUUCUUGAUUAUAACAAGCUCUGCUCUCUCUCCUCUCGCUUUCUUUUUCCUGUAGCCUCAUUAGAAGCAGAGUGCUGAGUCAGUGAGGCUCUGAUUUGUCCAUGGCAGCCUGUUAGGACCUUGGCACAGAAAGACACUGACCUCUGUUCUUGAGGGGUUGAUAUCCUCAAGAACAGAGGUCCUUGGGGACACCCUAGGUCCUUGCUGUGGGUGCUACAGGCUGAGUGAUGGCAUCUUCCUCCCUCCCUGGAAACCCAUUCUCUCUGGGACUCUGCUCAAGUCUGGCCAGAGAAGCAUCACGGUCCUGAUCAUGCCCUCCGUGCUCCCUGUCACUUCCCCAAGAAGCAAAUUCAUUCAAAAGAAAAAGUCCACAUGCGCUGCGACACUGUGCAGUACAACGUGGUCUCUUGGCCCCUGGGCACGUGGGAAGGUGGCAGAGCUGGCUACCAAGUCCGUGCUGUUUGUGUGUCUGGGUAACAUUUGUCGAUCACCCAUUGCAGAAGCAGUUUUCAGGAAACUUGUAACUGAUCAAAACAUCUCAGACAAUUGGAGGGUAGACAGUGCGGCGACUUCCGGGUAUGAGGGCGGGAAACCCCUGACUACUGAGGGCAGAGCGGCAUGAAGAGGCAUGGCAUUCCCCAUGAACCACGUGUCCCGGAAGAUUACCAAAGAAGAUUUUGCCACAUUUGAUUAUAUACUAUGUAUGGAUGAGAGCAAUCUGAGAGAUUUGAAUAGAAAAAGUAAUCGAGUUAAAACCUGCAGAGCUAGGGAAAAAAAAAAACCCAAAACCUGCAGAGCUAAAAUUGAACUACUUGGGCGCUAUGAUCCACAAACACAACCUACUAUUGAAGAUCCCUAUUAUGGGAAUGACUCUGACUUUGAGGCGGUGUGCCAGCAGUGUGUCAGGUGCUGCGGUGUGUUCUUGGGAAGGCUCACUGAGACAGGUUCCUGCCCUGCUGUGGCCAGCCUGACCAGACCCCACGCUGAGGGCCUGCAUUUCUCAUUGUGUAAUAACGUUCCAGAGCCCAGAGCCCAGAGCCCCAGCUCUUUGUUCAGUUGACUUACUGUUUCUUACCUUAAAAAAUAAUUGUAGAUGGAAAUCAGUUGUGUUUGGCAGAAGAAUAAAUAAAAAUCUUUGAUUCAGACAGUUAAAAGAAGAAAAAGAAAAGGGAGGCGGCAGCAAAGGUGGUCUCCUGGCUCCACCGCUCAUUAGCAGCACGCUGCCCCCUCGUGGCCAGCUUCAUUCUAGUCGUUUUCCCAGGUAAAUUCUGAGCUACUGGCCCUUACUUUGAGAAUGAGAGAACUUUAUUAGGAAAGAAAGGAAUUUGAGAAUACCCACUCACAACCGCUCGCCUGGCACACCCUGACCUUCUCCAUUUGUGUGUUCGGGAGGCCCUUUUUCUCACCCUUUCCUCUUGUCUAUUUGCUAAUCUUUCAAGACCUGGCUGAUUGUGACUGUGUCUUGCUUAUGCCCUCUUGGAGUGUGCAUCAGGUUUCACAGGUUUUCUGUGCAGAUGUGUACAUGUAUGUAAAGGCAGCCAUGUGACAAGACAACAUGAAUAAACACAUAAGACAGUAAACAGAGACGUGGGAACACCACGUGUACACGUAUACAUGCAAGUAGGCAGGUGAAGAUUCAGGGAUUUGGUGCUUUUCUGGUGCAUUUCAUGUUGGAUUUGCUGACUCAGGAGUCUGAUAAGAACCCUGGUUUACUACUUUCUCUGUACAAUAAAAAAAAAAAAGAUUAUCAAGAGUAAAAUAUCCUCUCCACUCACCCAAUAUUCACAUUUUGCAGAAAUAAUAUGUAGGUUUUUCUUUCUGAAAGCCCCUUCCAGACCAAGUCUCUGACCUCUGGGAUUCACAUAUUUACGGGAGACAAAGCCACAUCCAAUCUCUGUUGUGGGAAGAGCCCUGAGAGAGGUCGAAGGUUAGCAUUACCUGUAGGACAGUCCCCGAUACUGUGUGGUGACAUCGGGGAGGUCGUCUGCUUUGGAGCCAAUUCCAUUGCCAGCCUUUGAAAACAUACCAGAGUCCACAGAAAAUUAGUGAGUCAGAGAACAGGAAGGCUGUGACCGUGCAGGGCUUCCAAUGACGGCUUCCCUAUGCACUCACGCAGUGGGAGCAGACACCGACCAGGAGCCCUGGCUCUAAGUCUCCAUCCUCCUCCCUGGCCGUGGGCCUUUCCCAACUCUCAGCUGCCUCCUCACCAAGCUGAGGACAGGCCCUGCUCAUCUCACAGGGGGCGUUUUGGGGACCAAAUUGGAUUACAGUGGUAAAAACCGCUUUGAAAACUCUCAAGUGCUUUACAAAUGUGAGAGAGUGUUAAUAAUAUUGUUCCCAGCGUUAUGCCACUACGUUCCGUUCUUUAACAGCAUGAUGAGAGAGCUCAUCGACUUAAGCAACUGCGACUGCGGUGAUUUCUCCUAAGCCUCACAUUUCUCCUCGUUCCCUCUGGGGCAUCCUGUAAGGUAUUCUCAAGGCCUUAGACGUGCUGCUGGAAAUGAUGAUUGGGGAUAGUAAAAUAACCCCUUUUCUUGGAAGUUAGGAGCAGAGCGUUAUCUACAACUAAGGAGUCCUUGCUGCCUUCCGUGCAGAUGCAAAGAGGAAACAGAUGUGAGGUCUUAGCGGAUUAUAAAGCAUAAUCCAAAGGAAAAAGAGCACUUGCACAGGGAGGUUUAGGAGAAUCUUGAGUCAAAAUCACAUUACAUACAUUAAAAAAGUGUACUGGGUAUUCAAAACCUCUGCCCUCUGAGACAAUUCAGCUGAGUCCCGAAAAAGAUUUCCUCUGCACAACUGUCUGAGAAGGUGGCCACAAAUCAAGUCAUUGGCAUGCGCUUGGAUUGACAAAGCCAGGUAGAGGGGCAAAAUAAGAGAUAAGAGGAAAGGCAUGCUGGCCCUUAAGAGGACUGGGACCUGGAGCUGGCCUAGGUAUCCCCAAACCACCCAGGGCCCAAGAGUCCUUACGGUCAGAGAAUCCCCCAGAGCAGCCACAACUUGGAUGUCUGCAGGUCUCAGGGCAUGCACUGGAAAGAAGUGGACACACUCAGGGCUGCAGGAAGGAAGCUGCAGUUCAGCCUAGUGCCUCUGGCUUCAGGCAAGGUCUGCAAUGCAAUCUGCGCGUGCACUGGGCCAUGCAGGGUUGGGUGUGCACAGUACCACGGAGGAGGGAGUUAUAUGAGGACAAUUUUCCCUUAAGACACAACUAAUUCUGGACCUACAGGGAAAGACAGGUGCAGAGAG